AGAAGGCUUGGCUCCAUAAGUAUUGGUGGAAUGGCCAACGGAGUGAAUGAACAUCUCUUCCUGUAGCUCCCUAAGGACACAUUGCCAGCUGCCUUCAUCCUCAAAAAUGCCGAAAAAGAAGUGUGUACUUUUACAGAUGAGGAGGCUGAGGAAGUAACAGGCCUGGGAUUUGAACCUGGGUCCAAUUACUGUAUAGCCUGACCUCUCUCCAUAACAAUGUAGUGAAGACCACGAUGGGGUCUCCUCUGUACCUGAUGCCUAGAGGAGUGACAGCCGUCUUGUGACAGGGAGGACAAAGCCCAGGAGGCAGCCUGCACAUCGCCCUCCUCCUUUUCCUGCACAUCCGCUGUACAGCUUGGCUCUGAUGAUUUUUACCUCCACUUUCUCCGAGCCCAGUGUCCUUCGGUUCAAGCCCCAGCAUCUCCUGCCUCAACAACUGGCCCCUCCCCUCCCCUGCUGCCUGCCAAUCCAUUAUCCUUAUGAUAGACCAUCUUAUUUGGGAUCUCCUAAAAGCCUGAGGACCUUUGUACAUGCUGAUCCUGCUGCCUGGUCCUUCGAUGUCACCUACAUAAUGCCUAUCCAUCUUCAGAUCUCUAGGCAGCCUGAUACCAUCUCCCAGGCCGGGUCUUCAGAGCCCCAGGGGAUGGUGAAGCCACAAAGUGAAACCCAGAUGCCUGAGUCAGUGUGUGGAAGGAAGGCCACGUGACAAACCAUCCACAUUGGACUAUUUUACAAUCAAGAAAGAAGCAUCCAUUUCAUUGUGUAUUACAGCAGUUAGAUUACUUUGAUUAAUAUACUAUUUUCACACACAUUUUACAGGUGACAGAAAAGAGGCUCAGAGAGAGGUGAAGUGACUUGCCCAGGGUUGCACAGCCAGAUGUGGCAGAGCUGGGAUUCUGACUUCAGAACAUAUACAAAAUGUAACUGACACUGCUUUCCACAGGUCUUUAAUAAAUAUUUGUUGAAUGAAUGCAGUGAGUAAUCUUGAUUCCCUAGCCUUUAUGUUAAGAACCUAGGGAAAAAGUAGCUCAAAAAUAAAUCACAGGGUGACAAAAAAAUAAAAUCAAAAUGCAUGAGUCUCCUCCACUAUAUUGUAAGUUUCUGGAAGACAUAGGCUUUACUGUACUCAUUUUAAAAUCUUUUACAGCAUCUAGCACAGUGCUUGGUAUGUUAUAAGGACUCAAACAUGGCUGUUCAAUUGAAUCAUGACAGACAGCAGAAACUGGGUGUUCCCCAACGUUUUCAGAUGGUGGAGAAAUAGUUUGAAAUCAUUGUCUUUCUUGCAGAAUACCAUGAAACAGUGACAAAUUAAUUUUCAAAUGGGUAAAUAUAUAAUUUUGUGCUAAAAGCAGAUACCAUCUUGUAGUAGGCUCUUCUAAAAAGUGAAAGCGGCUGCUAAAGUUGGGGGAAAUGACUGGGAAUAAUUACAAAUGAAGACAAGUAUACCUAUGAACCCUUCCCUCCAUGAAUUGGCCCACAGCUACCAGGCCCCUACAACUGGAUUUUAGAACAGCUGGGCCCAGUUCACAAAAGUGUUCCACAGAAUCACAUUUUGAAACCUGUAGAUGAGGUAGUUGGAGUAGAAGGGACCAAUUAAUUGAUGGACAAGUUUCUGUUUUUAUAUUUGCUAGUUAGUGGCUGCCUCCUCAGAGCAAGCCACCAGGAUUCUACGCAGGCAUUUUUGUAUUAGCUUCAUUCCUAUCUCUGUCUUAUUCCCUUCUCUACGUUUUUCUUUUCCUUUCACCUUCUUUUAAUUUAUGCUACCUUGCUAUGUUUUAUGUAUCUGAUGUAAGCCACCUCGAAUCCUUUCUGGAAUAAUGUGGAGGUAUAAAUAAAAACAUACAACAUAAAUAUAA